AGAGGCAUGACGGGAAGUGUGGUUUUUUUCUCCUAAUUUGAGCCCCACCUGUCCUUCCGCCGAUUGGCCCAGUGAGCUAAGAAAUCAGGAUGGGGGAGCAACUUUUGCAUUAAAUACAGCUCACAAAUGAUCUUUCCUGCCCAUUCUCAAACCAUGAAAUUUCCGCACUUCCUGAUAUAGAGGCCUCAGAAACAUCUUUGAUUCCUUUCUCCAGGGGCUUACUAAGCCCGUUGGUUCUACGUCUAUUAUUAAUUCUUUCAAUAAGUAUUUAUGAGGCCUGCUAUGUGACAGGCUCCAUACUUGGCACGGCGGAUAAAAAGAGGAAUAUGACACAGAUUGCAAAAGAGAAACAAGUAAACGGAAAUCAGAGCAUAGUGAUUGUGUAAUAUGUGUAGAGGCUGAUUUAAUCACAGGGAGCACAGAGGACGGUACCUAAAUCAGAAGGGAUCUGGGGAGGUUUCCUGGAAAAGGUUUCAACCAAAGCCAUAAAUGCUGAUGUGGAUAUCAGGACAGUGUUUCAAGCAAUUUAGAUACAAUAUAAAAUAUACUGAUGCCAUAGUAGAAGAAGUUGAAGCCACUUUGCCAAGAUAUUUGGUUCUGAUACAAAGGAAGUUUUUCUCGGCCUGGUCUUGACUUAACAGUGACUUUAGUACUAUCCUGUUCAGACACCUCAAGUCUUCAGAAGAAAGCAGAUGAUGUGAAAGUAUAUCUAGGUCCCCAAGAGAGAUGCAAAUUACCAGCUGUAUUCCCUCAUGUCAGGAAAAAGAGGGUCCCAUAUAUUUCUUGUCUAAUACAAAAUCGCAGAAGGCUGAAACACAUUAACUAGAAAAGAGAAUGCAAUUUGGAUUCAACUACCUGCUGUCAUGAAAGCUAGGUGACACUGAAGUGGUCAUUUAUAACUACGUUACUAUGGAGACAGGAAAGAUAUAUAUUUAUCCAAACCUGGGGAUGAAUUAAUCUUAAAAAGAUGAGUACAAGUACUUCAACAGAUGAGGACGAUCUGAAGGUUAGCUGUUUGCUUCAUGUGAAUAGGAGCAAAGCCCAAGGAGAGGACACCUUCACCCUCCAACCCUUCUGAGUAAAACGGAGAUCCUAUCCCUAAAGCAAGGCUCCAAGUCAAUGGGCCUGUGCACAAUAGAAGAACAUCUGGCCUCGGGGACACGUUUACCUCUAGGCAAAGAGCAGGAGCGCAGUAUUGAGUAUUGUUGUAAACAAUACCAUUUGGAAACCUGGUUCCGCUCCUGUGAGUCCAGCAAACGCCUCAAAGACGCCCUUUUAGGAUUUCUUUAAAUUAAUCUGAGACAACGUGGGAAUACUCUCUAUAUAGUAUCUAGCCUACUGGAUAUGUGGUUUUUGUUGUUGUUGUUGUUUGUUUUAUUUUUAUUUUUGGCACGGCACUGAAGUCUGUGUAAAUAAAAGGCCCAGAUAAACUCGG
rnacentral:lncRNA from 1 species